AGAGUUUGAUCCUGGCUCAGAACGAACGCUGGCGGCAGGCCUAACACAUGCAAGUCGAACGCCCCGCAAGGGGAGUGGCAGACGGGUGAGUAACGCGUGGGAAUAUCCCCCUUAGUACGGAAUAGCCCAGGGAAACUUGGAGUAAUACCGUAUACGCCCGUAAGGAGAAAGAUUUAUCGCUGAGGGAUUAGCCCGCGUAGGAUUAGCUAGUUGGUGAGGUAAUGGCUCACCAAGGCUACGAUCCUUAGCUGGUCUGAGAGGAUGAUCAGCCGCAUUGGGACUGAGACACGGCCCAAACUCCUACGGGAGGCAGCAGUGGGGAAUAUUGGACAAUGGGCGCAAGCCUGAUCCAGCCAUGCCGCGUGAGUGAUGAAGGCCUUAGGGUUGUAAAGCUCUUUUGUCCGGGACGAUAAUGACGGUACCGGAAGAAUAAGCCCCGGCUAACUUCGUGCCAGCAGCCGCGGUAAUACGAAGGGGGCUAGCGUUGCUCGGAAUCACUGGGCGUAAAGGGCGCGUAGGCGGCCAUUCAAGUCGGGGGUGAAAGCCUGUGGCUCAACUACAGAAUUGCCUUCGAUACUGUUUGGCUUGAGACCGGAAGAGGUUAGUGGAACUGCGAGUGUAGAGGUGAAAUUCGUAGAUAUUCGCAAGAACACCAGUGGCGAAAGCGGCUAACUGGUCCGGUUCUGACGCUGAGGCGCGAAAGCGUGGGGAGCAAACAGGAUUAGAUACCCUGGUAGUCU
rnacentral:rRNA from 1 species